UACGGAAGGGGCAAGCGUUGUUCGGAAUCAUUGGGCGUAAAGGGUGCGUAGGUGGCGUCGUAAGUCGGGUGUGAAAUCUCGGGGCUUAACUCCGAAACUGCAUUCGAUACUGCGGUGCUUGAGGACUGGAGAGGAGACUGGAAUUUACGGUGUAGCAGUGAAAUGCGUAGAGAUCGUAAGGAAGACCAGUGGCGAAGGCGGGUCUCUGGACAGUUCCUGACACUGAGGCACGAAGGCCAGGGGAGCAAACGGG
rnacentral:rRNA from 1 species